rnacentral:rRNA from 1 species
UAGGGAAUCUUCGGCAAUGGACGAGAGUUUGACCGAGCAACGCCGCGUGAGUGAAGAAGGUUUUCGGAUCGUAAACUCUGUUGGUGGAGAAGAACGUUGGUGAGAGUGGAAAGCUCAUCAAGUGACGGUAACUACCCAGAAAGGGACGGCUAACUACGUGCCAC